ensembl:lncRNA
ACUGUUUUGGAAAGAAAUUUGUGACUUUUUUUCAGUGAUGUGAGGCAUGCCAAAGCAGCGUCAGAAGCGUUAGCUAGACUUGGGGAGAGAAAGACCAUUGCAGUCAGGUCAGACUUGCUUCAUUCAUACUGCUUACGGCCAAAUGACCGUGUUCCUAAUUCCAGUAGCAUGUUGGUAAUUGGGUCCCCAAGUUCAUAUUUAGUGUAUUCUUCCUUAUACCCCCUACCCCUCGUUACGUGACCCAAAUCAAUCAUCCAACGCAGCUAGCUAGGUUGACUAUAGCUUUUAACGUCUGGACGAAAAAACCUUAGGAUGCGUUCCAGAAUCUAAGUUUCAUGAACUGACUAUGCUGCAAGGCAGGGUCCUUCAGGAAAGAUACCCGAUAUCUCGAAGCUGAUGAAAACAUGGCGCAGACAAUAAAAGAUGCACCGUCUCUACCAGGACAAUUCUGCACGACAUCUUAGUCACUUCGGCCUCACUGAGAUUAUUAUGGAAUGAUGGAAAGAGCCUUGAAACUGGAGAGACUUGGGCUCUGUCCUGACUCUGUCACCAACAAGCCAAAUGGCCUUCAGCAAGUCAAGUGACCUGGCAGAGGACAGAAGAACUGACUUUUAGGAAAGGUUCAUGACAAAUGCUGACUGCAGAGGGCCAAAGGAAAAAGAUCAUGUAGAAAAUUGUUGCUAUACCAUAAUCCAGGGCUAGGAAAAGAUCGAUUUUAUAUAUAUAAAGAAAAAUGAGCAGAAAAGCAAAUUUCUCAAACUUUCUCAACAUUUAUGGGGCUCCCACCGAGCGCGAGGUGCUCCUCCUGGCGGGCGCUGAGGAUCAAGCAGUGCGACAAACCUGCCCCGCAGCUCAGGCCCUCGGAGGUGAACUGUGGCGGCCGCCUUUGGAUCACAGGGUUUUAAACGAUCAUAAUCUUAAUAAAAGGAAAAGAAAAAAGAAAACUUCCCACAAUGAAUCCCUGGUGCUGCCGUAACUUUACCGGUAAAACGUACCAAAUGCGGACAGAAGAAUUAGUAAGCAAACUUCACAAACGCUUUCAAAAAAUAGAAGUAGAGGGAACACUUCCAAACUCUGGGGCCAGUAUCGCCCUGAUACCAAAACCAGACAAAGACCUUACAGGCAAAGGAAAGCAAAUACUAAUACCGCUUACGAAAACAGACACAAAGAUCUUUAACCAAAGUGCGUCCAAUCACGUCGCCUUCGUCUGUCCGGGCUGCUGUGGCAGGAACCGCAGACUGAGCGGCUUAAACAACAAGCGUGCAUUUCUCACAGUUCCGGAGGCUGGGAAGUCCAAGAUCAAAGUGCCAGCAGAUUGGGCGUGUGUGGAGGGCCGCUGCCUGGUUCACAGGAGGUCGGCUUCUUGCUGUGUCCUCAGGUGAUGAAGGGAUGAGAGAGCUCUCUGGGGUCUCUUUGAUAAGGGCACUAAUCCUAGUCCUGAGGGCUCCACCUGCCCGCCCUCAUCACCUUCUGAAGGCCCCACCUCCUGAGACCAUCACACUGGGGAUCAGGAUUUCAACAUCUGGAUUUCCGGGGAGACACAGACAUUCAGGCUAUAGCACACGUCUCAUCAGAGCCAGCGUCCCUGUCCUGUUCAAACAGAGGAUCCAAGCUCCGACUGAGGAACAGGAGGGGAAAGAACAAACCGCUCCUCCAACCCACUGUGGAGGCCUUCUCUACUCAAUUCCUGAACCUUACACAGCUCUGUAAUUUUGUUUUUUGUCUGAAAGGAUUCGGCUGGUGAUGAAAACAGCCCAUCUUGUCUAAGAGGAGGGACUGGAAAAUAAUGACAAUAGACCCCAGUUGUCCUUGCUUCAACCCAGUGCUUCCUUUACCUCUUUUCCUCUUCUUUUACUUCCCCCAACUCUUUUGUUACCUCUCCCCACUCCCAAAACUUGACAGACAAGAGAAACGAAAACAGCUCUCCAAAAACUGUUCUGACAGCUGCUGGAAUGAGCUUGCACUAAGCAUCCGAGCAAGAGAGGAAAAAGCGGAACAAAUUCCCAACUCUUCCAACCUAACAUUUGUAGAAGCUAAAGAAACUGCGACCUGGGAAAUCCGGCGGUCACACCCCUCUCUCUUCUUUCCCAGAAAAAGUGCAGUUCUGUUUCAGCUCAGAGGUGAUCCACAUCAGCUGAUAAAGCCUUUAACCUCUAUUGGAAUCAUUUUAGCUACAUUUUUUUCUAGACAAGUUGGGCCACUAACUUGACCGCAAUUUUCUAGCAGCCAAAGCAAAGAGUGCCCCAGGAUCGCUUGUGUAAACUACAGUCCCCAGUGGGUCAACAGGAACCAUUUUCUCAAGGCCAGCAGCAGUGUUGGCAGCAAUGAGAUUCAAGGGAAAUCUGUCCCUUGAGUCAUCCUAGGGUUCAUAUUACACAGACAUCCUCAGCAGCGACCUCUCUAAGUAGCAGUUUGCUUUCUCAUCUGUUAAAGGGGCUAGUUAGAGUAACCUACCUGAUCAGGUUUCUGUCCUGAAUGAGACCACCGUCCAUAUAAAGGACCUAGCAGAGUGCCUGGCACAUAGUACGUCCGCAAUAAAUCUUAUCGUCACGACUUUGUAACCGGUAAGAGCACAAGCCGUGCAAUCCUGAUUUCAGGGGGAGUAAAGCAUUUCCCUACAUCCUUACAAUGCAAACAGAGGGGGCCUGUGCCAAGAUAACACAACCCAAGAUGCCAUCAGGAAGCACACACAGGGAAAACUACGAUCUGCUGUCUGGAAAAGAUAUAUCACGGGACACUCACUGAACUGACGAAAGGGACUCAAAUUUCUAGAGGUGGCUCUUCAGUGAUGCUGCGGUCCGGGCGCUUAUCUGACUAUUCAGUUGGGAUACAGUCUACUCUAUUCAACAAGGAGCAAAAAUACAUUGGCUUUAAAACAGACAAAAGUUUCUCUUUCCAAUAAUCCUUUGAUUAAGACCAGGGCUGGUCUAGUAGCUUGACAGUGUCAGCGACCUAAGCUUACAGAUGACUUUUUAGUGUCUGCUACUCCUGAAGAGGGCCAAGUCUAUUCACAUUUAUAAUUCCUUCCUCGCCAGCCCUCCUUUCACGUCUGGGAGACUGAGCACAGAGGAAAUCUUGGAGCUCGUGUAGAUCAGUCAGUAGCUUUCAAAGUCUUUGUUAAAGUAAAAGAAACCUUUCCUGGAAAAAGAUUCCAAUACAUAAGAGAGAAAAGAAGAGUUCCCUUAACUGGGAACAGGGGCUCUCUCACCACACCCUUUCCUGGAUGCGCCUCCCUGUUCAACCAAUAACUUAGCCUGACUCUUCUUCUUAAAACUGAGGAAACAGCAGGCCCAGAGGAGGUAAGUGACUGAGAGAGUGAAACCAUGAGGGCUGGUAGAGCUGAACUGGAAGGGCAGUUGUCUUGAGCCCCGGCCCAAGGCCCUCCGCAAGACCCUACAGGAAGAAAAAAUUAGCGAAGAACUGUGUGUCCAACCAAACGACGUCUUUGUGGUAGAGAAGCGGUCCAUAUAAAGGAGUUUAUUGGUGCCCAGUAUUGCUUAAAAUGAAACGUUUUGGAAAGAAAUAUGUGACUUUUUUUCAGUGAUGUGAGGCAUGCCAAAGCAGUGUCAGAAGCGUUAGCUAGACUUGGGGAGAGAAAGACCAUUGCAGUCAGGUCAGACUUGCUUCAUUCAUACUGCUUUCGGCCAAAUGACCGUGUUCCUAAUUCCAGUAGCAUGUUGGUAAUUGGGUCCCCAAGUUCAUAUUUAGUGUAUUCUUCCUUAUACCCCCUACACCUCGUUACGUGACCCAAAUCAAUCAUCCAACGCAGCAAGCUAGGUUGACUACAGCUUUUAACGUCUGGACCAAAAAACCUUAGGAUGCGUUCCAGAAUCUAAGUUUCAUGAACUGACUAUGCUGCAAGGCAGGGUCCUUCAGGAAAGAUACCGGAUACAUGGAAGCGGAUGCAAACAUGGCGCAGACAAUAAAAGAUGCACCAUCUCUACCAAGACAAUUCUGCACGACAUCUUAGUCACUUCGGCCUCACUGAGAUUAUUAUGGAAUGAAGGAAAGAGCCUUGAAACUGGAGAGACUUGGGCUCUGUCCUGACUCUGUCACCAACAAGCCAAAUGGCCUUCAGCAAGUCAACUGACCUGGCAGAGGACAGAAGAACUGACUUUUAGGAAAGGUUCAUGACAAAUGCUGACUGCAGAGGGCCAAAGAAAAAAGAUCAUGUAGAAAACUGUUGCUAUACCAUAAUCCAGGGCUAGGAAAAGAUCGAUUUUAUAUAUAUAAAGAAAAAUGAGCAGAAAAGCAAAUUUCUUAAACUUUCCCAACAUUUAUGGGGCACUCACUGAGCACGAGUUGCUCCUCCUGGCGGGCGCUGAGGAUCAAGCAGUGCGACAAACCUGCCCCGCAGCUCCGCCCUCGGAGGUGAACUGUGGCGGUCGCCUUUGGAUCACAGGGUUUUAAACGAUCAUAAUCUUAAUAAAAGGAAAAGAAAAAAGAAAACUUCCCACAAUGAAUCCCUGGUGCUGCCGUAACUUUACCGGUAAAACGUACCAAAUGCGGACAGAAGAAUUAGUAAGCAAACUUCACAAACGCUUUCAAAAAAUAGAAGUAGAGGGAACACUUCCAAACUCUGGGGCCAGUAUCGCCCUGAUACCAAAACCAGACAAAGACCUUACAGGCAAAGGAAAGCAAAUACUAAUACCGCUUACGAAAACAGACACAAAGAUCUUUAACCAAAGUGCGUCCAAUCACGUCGCCUUCGUCUGUCCGGGCUGCUGUGACAGGAUACCGCAGACUGAGCGGCUUAAACAACAAGCGUGCAUUUCUCACAGUUCCGGAGGCUGGGAAGUCCAAGAUCAAAGUGCCAGCAGAUUGGGCGUGUGUGGAGGGCCGCUGCCUGGUUCACAGGAGUUCGGCUUCUUGCUGUGUCCUCAGGUGAUGAAGGGAUGAGAGAGCUCUCUGGGGUCUCUUUGAUAAGGGCACUAAUCCUAGUCCUGAGGGCUCCACCUGCCCGCCCUCAUCACCUUCUGAAGGCCCCACCUCCUGAGACCAUCACACUGGGGAUCAGGAUUUCAACAUCUGGAUUUCCGGGGAGACACAGACAUUCCGGCUAGAGCACACGUCUCAUCAGAGCCAGCGUCCCUGUCCUGUUCAAACAGAGGAUCCAAGCUCUGACUGAGGAACAGGAGGCGAAAGAACAAACCGCUCCUCCAACCCACUGUGGAGGCCUUCUCGACUCAAUUCCUGAACCUUACACAGCUCUGUAAUUUUGUUUUUUCUCUGAAAGGAUUCGGCUGGUGAUGAAAACAGUCCAUCUUGUCUAAGAGGAGGGACUGGAAAAUAAUGGCAAUAGACCCCAGUGGUCCUUGCUUCAACCCGGUGCUUCCUUUACCUCUUUUCCUCUUCUUUUACUUCCCCCAACUCUUUUGUUACCUCUCCCCACUCCCAAAACUUGACAGACAAGAGAAACGAAAACAGCUCUCCAAAAACUGUUCUGACAGCUGCUGGAAUGAGCUUGCACUAAGGAUCCGAGCAAGAGAUGAAAAAGCGGAACAAAUUCCCAACUCUUCCAACCUAACAUUUGUAGAAGCUAAAGAAACUGCGACCUGGGAAAUCCGGCGGUCACACCCCUCUCUCUUCUCCUUUCCCAGAAAAAGUGCAGUUCUGUUUCAGCUCAGAGGUGAUCCACAUCAGCUGAUAAAGCCUUUAAACUCUGUUGGAAUCAUUUUAGCUACAUUUUUUUCUAGACAAGUUCUGCCACUAAUUUGACCCCAAUUUUCUAGCAGCCAAAGCAAAGAGUGCCACAGGAUCGCUUGUCUAAACUACAGUCCCCCGUGGGUCAACACAAACCAUUUUCUCAAGGCCAGCAGCAGUGUUGGCGGCAAUGAGAUUCAAGGGAAAUCUGUCCCUUGAGUCAUCCUAGGGUUCAUAUUACACAGACACCCUCAGCAGACCUCUCUAAGUAGCAGUUUGCUUUCUCAUCUGUUAAAGGGGGGAAUUAGAGUAACCUACCUGAUCAGGUUUCUGUCCUGAAUGAGACCACCGUCCAUAUAAAGGACCUGGCAGAGUGCCUGGCACACAGUACGUCCGCAAUAAAUCUUAGCCUCGUGACUUUGUAACAGGUAAGAGCACAAGCCGUGCAAUCCUGAUUUCAGGGCGAGUACAGCAUUUCCCUACAUCCUUACAAUGCAAACAGAGGGGGCCUGUGCCAAGAUAACACAACCCAAGAUGCCAUCAGGAAGCACACACAGGGAAAACUACGAUCUGCUGUCUGGAAAAGAUAUAUCACGGGACACUCACUGAACUGACGAAAGGGACUCAAAUUUCUAGAGGUGGCUCUUCAGUGAUGCUGCGGUCCGGGCGCUUAUCUGACUAUUCAGUUGGGAUACAGUCUACUCUAUUCAACAAGGAGCAAAAAUACAUUGGCU